rnacentral:rRNA from 1 species
UACGUAGGGGGCAAGCGUUGUCCGGAAUCAUUGGGCGUAAAGCGCGUGUAGGCGGCCCGGUAAGUCCGCUGUGAAAGUCGGGGGCUCAACCCUCGGAUGCCGGUGGAUACUGUCGGGCUAGAGUGCGGAAGAGGCGAGUGGAAUUCCUGGUGUAGCGGUGAAAUGCGCAGAUAUCAGGAGGAACACCGGUGGCGAAGGCGGUUCUCUGGGCCUUACCUGACACUGAGGAGCGAAAGCGUGGGGAGCGAACAGG